UUGGAAAGCUGAGGGUCAACAAGAGAGAAAACACUUAUUUAAACAUUUUUCAGUUAAUUAAUGCUAUUAAUAUUUAUUAAAUGAGUCAAUACAGGAAGAAUGAAGGUUCUCUCGGCCACCCUUGUGGUCUUAAGGGGAAAAACAUGCUUCAAGUUCAGGAGUCCUUCUCCAAAUGACUUGCUGAACUUCAGUGUACUUCAGUCCAGGGGACUUGUGGUGAGACAAGUGUUCCUACCAUCUGGUCUGCUGAGGGAUGAGGGCCAGUGAUGGCCGCCCACUUCCUCAACAUUCGCCACAUUGUCAGCACCCUCCAUAAAAGAAAGCCACUGUGAACAAAUGACUCCUCCAGGCCGUCCACAGCUGGCCCAGGAGAGCCGUGCAGAGAGCCCAGUUGUGGAGGGCAGGAGAAGCCCCUCUUUGUGUUGAAUGGUGCAGUGGGCCAGGAUUUGGCUGCUGGUGUGUAUUUAUUACUGAGCUGAAUGAAUCUGAAUGAUGUUCUCAGGGCUGUUAAUAAUAAGGCUUAACAAAUAGGAAACAUAUCGCUCUUUUUAAUUACAUUUUUAAUAGAGAUGCAGCGAAAUGAAGAUUUUUGGCUGAAAGUGCAACUGAAAUAAAAUUAAAUAAAAUGUUUGGCUACUAGCCAAAUACAGA